UCUAAGAUGCUUAACUUCCUGAAACUUAGCUGCUCAUAAUCAUUAAUUGAAGAAAGGAAGACUCACACUUUGAAUUCCAUCAGGAAACAAAACAUAAACUAGCACUAGCUGUUUUAAAAUUAAUUUGAGACAUUUGAUGUGCACAAAUGAAGAUAGCAAGGGAUGUUCCAGUAUUCUCUCUUUUAAUGCUACUGGUAGUGGUAGAUUUCACUGCUGGGUUACAGUUAAAGAGGAGGUGAGAAGAGGAUGAGAAAAAGACACUGAGGAGAGAACAUAAAAGGAACACAGGCAACAUGGAACACAUUCCUACUUAUUAGUUUUCUGAAGGAGAAAUAAUGGAAGAAAGAAAGACGAUAAAGGUGUAGAAUUGCAUAUUCCAUUAAAGGUGUCAUAUUAAGCAAUUU